AAUGGUUCUUGGCCUUUUGUCUAAGAUCAAGGUACACUAAUCAGUUUAAUACCUGAUAUAUUCUCUAUCCAAAGAUGACAUAUUAAAUGGAUUUUUGAAUGGGAAUUUGGGGGAAUAGGCUUGCUUUGAAAAUUAUUUUGAGGCAGCUGGUGGCUCAGUGAGCAAAAUGGUGGACUAGGAACCUGAA